rnacentral:rRNA from 1 species
UACGUAGGGUGCAAGCGUUGUCCGGAAUUAUUGGGCGUAAAGAGCUCGUAGGCGGUCUGUCGCGUCGGAUGUGAAAAUCCAGGGCUCAACCCUGGACCUGCAUUCGAUACGGGCAGACUAGAGUUCGGCAGGGGAGACUGGAAUUCCUGGUGUAGCGGUGAAAUGCGCAGAUAUCGGGAGGAACACCGGUGGCGAAGGCGGGUCUCUGGGCCGAUACUGACGCUGAGGAGCGAAAGCGUGGGGAGCGAACAGG